rnacentral:tRNA from 1 species
GGGCCUGUGGCUCAGCUGGGAGAGCGCCUCGUUCGCAACGAGGAGGUCGGGGGUUCGAAUCCCCCCAGGUCCACCA